rnacentral:rRNA from 1 species
UACCAUGCAGUCGAGCGGUAGGCCCUUUCGGGGGUACACGAGCGGCGAACGGGUGAGUAACACGUGGGUGAUCUGCCCUGCACUUCGGGAUAAGCCUGGGAAACUGGGUCUAAUACCGGAUAUGACCAAAGGCUGCAUGGCGGUUGGUGGAAAGGUUUACUGGUGCAGGAUGGGCCCGCGGCCUAUCAGCUUGUUGGUGGGGUAAUGGCCUACCAAGGCGACGACGGGUAGCCGACCUGAGAGGGCGACCGGCCACACUGGGACUGAGACACAUCUCACUCUCUCUACGGGAGGCAGCAGUGGGGAAUAUUGCACAAUGGGCGAAAGCCUGAUGCAGCGACGCCGCGUGAGGGAUGACGGCCUUCGGGUUGUAAACCUCUUUCAGCAGGGACGAAGCGAAAGUGACGGUACCUGCAGAAGAAGCACCGGCCAACUACGUGCCAGCAGCCGCGGUAAUACGUAGGGUGCGAGCGUUGUCCGGAAUUACUGGGCGUAAAGAGCUCGUAGGCGGUUUGUCGCGUCGUCUGUGAAAACCAGCAGCUCAACUGCUGGCUUGCAGGCGAUACGGGCAGACUUGAGUACUGCAGGGGAGACUGGAAUUCCUGGUGUAGCGGUGAAAUGCGCAGAUAUCAGGAGGAACACCGGUGGCGAAGGCGGGUCUCUGGGCAGUAACUGACGCUGAGGAGCGAAAGCGUGGGUAGCGAACAGGAUUAGAUACCCUGGUAGUCCACGCCGUAAACGGUGGGCGCUAGGUGUGGGUUUCCUUCCACGGGAUCCGUGCCGUAGCUAACGCAUUAAGCGCCCCGCCUGGGGAGUACGGCCGCAAGGCUAAAACUCAAAGGAAUUGACGGGGGCCCGCACAAGCGGCGGAGCAUGUGGAUUAAUUCGAUGCAACGCGAAGAACUUACUGGUUUGACAUAUACCGGAAAGCUCGUAGAGAUACGGCCCCUUGUGGUCGAUACAGGUGGUGCAUGGCUGUCGUCAGCUCGUGUCCUGAGAGUUG